ensembl:misc_RNA
AUUUCUCUUGAGGGUACGAUAGAGUCUAAUUUUCUUCAUUAUUCAAUUUGGAUUCUGUUAAGCGAGACAGGCAUUCACUGACAUGAAGAACAUUUAAAUUUUGGCAAAUAAGUUCAUUAGUAUUCAGAAAGCUUUGCACCCCUCAUAUUUAAUAAACCUUUCCAUUACAGAGUAAGAAAU